CUGCGCAGCCAAAAACAGCCUAUCUCAAUGCUGUUAUAUUAUCAUUCCUUACUGUAUUGAACAGAUAUCAAUCACAGACAUGACUAUCAGUUCAAUUGUCCAAUGCAACGGAAUAUUAAAUGGAAUAAGAUGAAAUUGUCCCAAAAAGUAGGGAGUGAGCAACACCGACCAGUGACUUACACAGUUUGAAAUGGUGCAAGCAGUUUAGACUGUUUUCCCCUCUCUUCAUUGCCAGUGAUAGCAUGGAGCUUGAAAUGAAGACCAGAGCAAGCAAGAAGUUGUAAGGCUUAUGCUUGUAAAGAAAGUAUUAUAAUUUAAGGCCUCAGGCGGCUUUGAUCGACAGUACACAAAUAUUAACUUGUACAAUGUUUAAGAAGACUGGACACACUUAGUGGUACCCUACAUACAGAUCUGCAAUGUAAAGAUCAUGCUUUAUCAUAGAAGGAAGAACAGGAGGAACAGGAAUAUGAAGUUUGUACAGAUUUGUUUGUCACUUUAGAAAUAACUAUCAAAAUCAUAUUAUUCUUGCAACUCUUUAAAGUUUGAGUAUAGUUUAAAGAAGUAUCAACUAACACAAAUGGAGGAAAGAACAUAAACAGAAAGGUGCAGUGCUGCUUCACUCAUCAUCUAUGUCUAAGAUUUUUUUUUUCUGAAGUAUAGUUUAAUGACUAAAGUACACAUGACUAUGGCUUCUUCUAUUAUAAGCUGUCAGUAAAAGUUCCAUUCUUAUAUUAUUGAUGAAAUAUGCCUCAUACCUGAAGCAUACUGUAAUACAGUAAGUGGGAUAAUAGGAAGCCAGUUCACUGAUAUCCUAUGCUCUCAAUAAAAAUACUUUCUUCAUGAGACUACUCUAACGGCCAAAUAACUGAAAAAGAAAGAAAAAAAAGAAAGAAAAAGAAAGAAAGAAAGAAAGAAAGAAAGAAAGAAAGAAAGAAAAAAAAAAAGUUUCAGAUUUUUUUCCAGCUCUUCUUUCCUAGAACACCUGGUAACACAACAAAUAAUUAAGGUUCUGUACUGCUGAAAGAACCCAAGCAAGAACCAUCCAACAAUACAUAAUCACUCAUAAUUUGAUAAGAUCAGCUUACAAGCAAGCCUAGACCACAUUGUUUGUUACAGUAUAUAAUGUUGGAAAUUAUGUGUAAUAGUAGAUGAUUACCAUUAGAGGAAAACCUCUUUUCGGAUGUUUCUCACUUCAGAAUUGUGCUACAUGUAAGAUACAAUAAAAAUUAUUUGAAUUUAACUAAUUCCUCUGUGUAACUAUUAAUGUUCUCAAUAUAUAUCUUCUUCAUUUUAUCAAGGGAAAGAACAA